CAGCACCUCAAGUGGUCAGGAUGAUUAUUGGGCCUAAAGCAUCCGUAGCCGGCUCUGUAAGUUUUCGGUUAAAUCUGUACGCUCAACGUACAGGCUGCCGGGAAUACUGCAGAGCUAGGGAGUGGGAGAGGUAGACGGUACUCGGUAGGAAGGGGUAAAAUCCUUUGAUCUAUUGAUGACCACCUGUGGCGAAGGCGGUCUACCAGAACACGUCCGACGGUGAGGGAUGAAGGCUGGGGGAGCAAACCGGAUUAGAUACCCGUGUAGUCC
rnacentral:rRNA from 1 species